rnacentral:rRNA from 1 species
CAGCCGCCGCGGUAAUACGAAGGGUGCAAGCGUUACUCGGAAUUACUGGGCGUAAAGCGUGCGUAGGUGGUGGUUUAAGUCCGUUGUGAAAGCCCAGGGCUCAACCUGGGAAUUGCAGUGGAUACUGGGUCACUAGAGUGUGGUAGAGGAUAGUGGAAUUUCCGGUGUAGCAGUGAAAUGCGUAGAGAUCGGAAGGAACAUCUGUGGCGAAGGCGACUAUCUGGGCCAACACUGACACUGAGGCACGAAAGCGUGGGGAGCAAACAGGAUUAGAUACCCCCGUAGUCCCUGUCUCUUAUAA